ACUCCUCUUGUAUCGUCCUGUCCCCAGUCCUCCUCCCCAACUCCUCUCUUGUCUUCCUGUCCCCAGUCCUCCUCCCUGCAUGCUCCAGUGUCUGUUGGACUUACCUCACAGAAGAAAAGACGAAGGAGGACAGCAGACACAGUUGGGCUGUGUGGAGGUCUUGGUGCAGUGGCAUCCUUGCUCUGGAUGUGGAAUGAAGUGGAAAAACUCUUGGGAACCAAAGACAAAUAUUCAGAUAUAAAAACCUAAAAUGACUGUUAUAGUUAAUUUCAUUGUUCUAUGUUUGGAUGUUGUAUUAUACAUGGUAAUGUACCUGUUGGAC